rnacentral:lncRNA from 1 species
CUCUUCUGGAAGGGUAAGAGCAAGAGCAGUGGGCUGAAGAACUGUUAUCCCUCUGCAGUACAUGGGGGUUUGAGCUCACGUCAAUGUGCCUGACCUAAGGGCAAAUGGAGCUAAGCAGGAGGGAGAAUUAGACACUUGCCACGGCUUGGAGACAGGGUCUACUGCUCUCUGCUGAACCAGAGGAAAGAACACACUGGCUCCUGAACCUUCGCAGGAAGACAAGGCGAGGGCUGCUGGGUGCCCGUCGCUGCUCACAGCACAGAACGUCCCACUCCUCAGACUCUUUGUCCCCGUCCUAAGACUGUCCUUCACUUGGUCCAUCCAAUCCAAAAUAUGGGCAUACGAAACACACCUCAUCCUUCACACACACAACAUGCUCAACCUUCACUAGCCACGUGACUUUCUUUCUCACAUCAUCCUGAAUUUGCUUUUCUGGUGAGUACCCAGGGACAGCCCUGGUUCAGUGAUGAGGCCUCACAGCCUGUGGUGAGUGCUCACUGUUAGUGUGGCUUUGACUGGAACACAGUCCCUGCAGGGUGGCAUCCAGUGCUCCCUGACUCCAUGCAUGAGGUGUCAUGUGGUCAGUGGCCGCAUGGGUUAAACCCCAGAAGGCCAGACCUGGAGGAGAGAUCCAGCUCCAGCCCAUCUGGGAAGUCCCUGAUCGGGGGUGAUGAUGGUGACAAAGGUUGGUUGACCAGAGAGAUCCACCAUCCACCAUUUGGGGAUGUCCCUACCAGG